UACGGGGGGAGCAAGCGUUGUUCGGAUUUACUGGGCGUAAAGGGCGCGUAGGCGGUCGUGACAAGUCACUUGUGAAAUCUCCGGGCUUAACUCGGAACGGUCAAGUGAUACUGUCGGACUAGAGUACAGAAGGGGCAACUGGAAUUCUCGGUGUAGCGGUGAAAUGCGUAGAUAUCGAGAGGAACACCUGCGGCGAAGGCGGGUUGCUGGGCUGAUACUGACGCUGAGACGCGAAAGCGUGGGGGAGCGAACAGG
rnacentral:rRNA from 1 species